AUUGAACGCUGGCGGCAGGCUUAACACAUGCAAGUCGAGCGGAGAUGAGGUGCUUGCACCUUAUCUUAGCGGCGGACGGGUGAGUAAUGCUUAGGAAUCUGCCUAGUAGUGGGGGACAACAUUCCGAAAGGAAUGCUAAUACCGAAUACGCCGUAAGGGGGAAAGCAGGGGAUCUUAGGACCUGGCGCUAAUAGAUGAGCGUAAGUCGGAUUAGCUAGUUGGUGGGGUAAAGGCCUACCAAGGCGACGAUCUGUAGCGGGUCUGAGAGGAUGAUACGCCACACUGGGACUGAGACACGGCCCAGACUCCUACGGGAGGCAGCCGUGGGGAAUAUUGGACAAUGGGCGGAAGCCUGAUCCAGCCAUGCCGCGUGUGUGAAGAAGGCCUUUUGGUUGUAAAGCACUUUAAGCGAGGAGGAGGCUACCUGGAUUAAUACUCUAGGAUAGUGGACGUUACUCGCAGAAUAAGCACCGGCUAACUCUGUGCCAGCCGCCGCGGUAAAAC
rnacentral:rRNA from 1 species